rnacentral:rRNA from 1 species
GCAGUCGCCACGGUAAUACGAAGGGUGCAAGCGUUAAUCGGAAUUACUGGGCGUAAAGCGUGCGUAGGCGGUUUGUUAAGUCUGUUGUGAAAUCCCCGGGCUCAACCUGGGGAUGGCAAUGAAUACUGGCAAGCUAGAGUGUGUCAGAGGAUGGUGGAAUUCCCGGUGUAGCGGUGAAAUGCGUAGAGAUCGGGAGGAACAUCAGUGGCGAAGGCGGCCAUCUGGGACAACACUGACGCUGAGGCACGAAAGCGUGGGGAGCAAACAGGAUUAGAUACCCCCGAGUCCCUGUCUCUUAUACA